rnacentral:rRNA from 1 species
CCUACGGGUGGCAGCAGUGGGGAAUAUUGCACAAUGGGGGAAACCCUGAUGCAGCGACGCCGCGUGAGUGAAGAAGUAAUUCGUUAUGUAAAGCUCUAUCAGCAGGGAAGAAAAUGACGGUACCUGAGGAAGAAGCACCGGCGAACUACGGGCCAGCAGCAGCGGUAAUACGUAGGGGGCAAGCGUUAUCCGGAUUUACUGGGUGUAAAGGGAGCGUAGACGGCAGUGCAAGUUCGGAGUGAAAGGCGGGGGCUCAACCCACGGACUGCGCUGGAAACUGUACGGCUGGAGUGCAGGAGUGGUAAGUGGAAUUCCCAGGGUAGCGGUGAAAUGCGUAGAUAUUAGGAGGAACACCAGAGGCGAAGGCGGCUUACUGGUCUGUAACUGACGUUGAGGCUCGAAAGCGUGGGGAGCAAACAGGAUUAGAUACCCUAGUAGUC